rnacentral:rRNA from 1 species
UACGUAGGUUUCUCUCGUUCCUCGUCCUUCCUGGGCGUAAAGCGUGCGCAGGCGGUUUUUUAAGCCAGAUGUGAAAUCCCCGGGCUUAACCUGGGAACUGCAUUUGGAACUGGAAGACUAGAGUACGGCAGAGGGGGGUAGAAUUCCACGUGUAGCAGUGAAAUGCGUAGAUAUGUGGAGGAAUACCGAUGGCGAAGGCAGCCCCCUGGGUCGAUACUGACGCUCAUGCACGAAAGCGUGGGGAGCAAACAGG